rnacentral:rRNA from 1 species
GUGAACGCUGGCGGUAGGCCUAACACAUGCAAGUCGAACGGCAGCACAGUAAGAGCUUGCUCUUACGGGUGGCGAGUGGCGGACGGGUGAGGAAUACAUCGGAAUCUACUUUUUCGUGGGUGAUAACGUAGGGAAACUUACGCUAAUACCGCAUACGACCUACGGGUGAAAGCAGGGGAUCUUCGGACCUUGCGCGAUUGAAUGAGCCGAUGUCGGAUUAGCUAGUUGGCGGGGUAAAGGCCCACCAAGGCGACGAUCCGUAGCUGGUCUGAGAGGAUGAUCAGCCACACUGGAACUGAGACACGGUCCAGACUCCUACGGGAGGCAGCAGUGGGGAAUAUUGGACAAUGGGCGCAAGCCUGAUCCAGCCAUACCGCGUGGGUGAAGAAGGCCUUCGGGUUGUAAAGCCCUUUUGUUGGGAAAGAAAAGCAGCAGGUUAAUACCCCGCUGUUCUGACGGUACCCAAAGAAUAAGCACCGGCUAACUUCGUG